rnacentral:rRNA from 1 species
UGAGCAAUCUGCCCUUCUCAUCGGAAUAAGCGUUGGAAACGACGUCUAAUGCCGAAUACGACCUCCUUUCGCAUGAUCGGAGGUGGAAAGCUCCGGCGGAGAAGGAUGAGCUCGCGGCCUAUCAGCUAGUUGGUGUGGGUAAUGGCUCACCAAGGCGACGAUCCGUAGCUGGUCUGAGAGGACGAUCAGCCACACGUGGGACUGAGACACGGU